rnacentral:rRNA from 1 species
UACGUAGGGUGCAAGCGUUGUCCGGAAUUAUUGGGCGUAAAGAGCUCGUAGGCGGUUCGUCGCGUCGGCUGUGAAAACCUGCAGCUUAACUGUGGGCUUGCGGUCGAUACGGGCAUCACUGGAGUUCGGCAGGGGAGACUGGAAUUCCUGGUGUAGCGGUGGAAUGCGCAGAUAUCAGGAGGAACACCGAUGGCGAAGGCAGGUCUCUGGGCCAUUACUGACACUGAGAAGCGAAAGCAUGGGGAGCGAACAGG